GUUUAAUCAUAGGUCAGUGGCAGUGCAUCUGCUUUGUAUGCAGAAGGUCCCAAGUUCAACCCCUGGCAUCUCCA
rnacentral:tRNA from 1 species